rnacentral:lncRNA from 1 species
CCAUGGCGAAGGCCGAAAUCUAUAGUUAUUCGCGUUGCGUUUUCGACUCUCUUCCUUUCUAUGAUGGUUCGGAAAGGUAAUCUUUUUCUUCCCAUUUCGUUCUUCUUUUAUUUGCGUUUCGUUCGCUUUUAUGAAUUCAGAUUUUUUCAACUUUCUUCCUUUCUAUUUACGUUUCGUUUUCUUCCCGUUUCGUUUUCUUCCCAUUUCGUUUUCUUCCUAUUUCGUGUUUUUUACAAUGUUUCAGAUGUUCGUUAUAGUGGAGGCUCGAAGAAGAGGAGUUCGAUGAGCGUGAUUCGAGGCCGACACAAAAAGUUCAAUAUGCUCUAGAUUGUGGAUUCUUCUCUGCUCUACGGUGUUGUAUGCUUCUUCUUUGCGAUGUUCUUUGUUAUACACUCCUGGUGAGUUUAUACCCGGUUCCCUAAGUGUAUAAUAUUUGAAUGAAAUUGCCUUGUGCCCUCUCUUAUUGUUCCUCUUCUACCUCUCUCUUUUCUCUGUGUUUUUUUCUCUUUUUCUCUCUUGAUGUCUCUCCCCUUUUCUGUGUGUUCUGCAAUGCCCAUUUAUAGGAUGGAAACAAAACUAUUUUCCCUACUUACUAGGAACCACUUCCCACUCUUCUAGACUGUUUAUGAAAUCAGUUUCCACUUUAUUUUUGCCUAUUUUUAUGCUUGACGUAAUCCCCUGAAAACUGGAUACCAUAGUUUAUCUUAGGGAUAAAGUUUGACCCCCUAUCCCCUACAAACUAGGCAACUUCCUCACUAUCUCAACUCAACCUUGACUUUAUCUUUUCUGUUUGCUUUUAUUUUUGCUAACCCUUUGCCUUUUAACACAACUGAGACUAAAUAAACCGUAACCAAAUGGACAUCUAGGCUUCAUGCUUUGGGUAAAUUAGUGUAACUACCGCAAAUAAUUAUGUGUUCACUUAGCAACUUGCCCACUACUCUUAUAAUAAAGCAAUGUUUUGUUUCUUAUUACUUUCCAUCCAUAUGAAUAUUUUGUCCUUUUCUUCAUGCUAACUUUAUAUAACUGAACCUUAACUUGUUUUGCAGUGUAGUCAUAGAGGCUUUCAAAGGUGGACAGAUUUGUAAAGAUGGUGCUAGCUUAAAGGAAUCUUAUCCUGGUGUUAGUGUAAUUAAUUUUUUGUAUUGAGAGUGGUGAAUGAAUGUAAUAUAAUUGGACGUACUUUGUCC